rnacentral:misc_RNA from 1 species
GCCCCUGCACAGGUUCAGCAAAGGGUAAGAUUAACCGUAUAUCUGAUAUACAGAUGCAAAUAUAUGUUAAAUUUUUUAUUUAAUAUGAUAGUUCCUCUUGUCCGUGGUUCUCCUUUCUCUCUUUCUCUCUCCCCUGCCCCCCUUCUCCUCCACGUUUCCUUUUCGUAUUAAAUGGAAACUGUUAUAGUAUGUAUGGUAAUAUCAUUGGAUUGAUCUGCAGUCCAGUUCAUUACAUUCUCUCCUUAAAUUAGUUGAAUUUUAUAUUUCCCUUUGGCAGAAGAUUGAAGUUCCUAGCUUGGUGGGUUAAAGCUCAAGCAAUAAUUUGGACUUGUCCACGGUCCUUCAUUUGAUGUUUCUUGAGGCAAUGAUGUGGUAUGCAUGUGAUGGAGAUGUGCAACGAUUUAAGUUGUGAAAAUUGCUUCAAGUGUAAGACGAACAAUUAAGAAAAAUCGUCUUUAAAUUUGGCUGGAAGUCUUUGGAAGUAAUUGGGAAUAGCACAACAUAAGCUAGGAGUGCGUGACAGUGAUAAAUAGGUGUUGACUUGGUUUAACAAUGCUCCUUAAAAUCUUUCACUCAACUUGGUUUUGUUAACCGAGAGAUGCUUUGUAUUUCCUUUCAUCAAGAGUUAAAAGUUGAAUAUGAGAGGGUUUGGACAUUUACCCUGAGGAGAACGUUGAGGUUUCGAAUCUAGAAGUAAAAUUAGCAUUUUACCAAAAGUAAACUCAGAAUAUGGUUCUCAUGGCAUUGGAGUGUUAUUUCUGAGCUUAUGACAGCCAAUUGCAGGAUUGCUUGCUGAUUAGCGCACUUUUGUUCCAGAUAUUCACAUUCUUUGGCCGCAUGACAUAAUGAUUUGCCCUUUUUGUGAGGGGUUAAUGCCUUCACACUGUAUAUUCACAAGCUGAUGUAUUCCUGAUUGGAAUACAUUUUUCAUUGCCCAGUUCCUAGGUGUACCAGACAAAGA